rnacentral:rRNA from 1 species
GAGUUUGAUCAUGGCUCAGGAUUAACGCUAGCGGCAGGCAUAAUACAUGCAAGUUGAACGGGAUAAGUUGUAGCAAUACGACUUUGAGAGUGGCGCACGGGUGCGUAACACGUAUGCAACCUACCUUAAACUGGGGAAUAGCCCCUCGAAAGAGGGAUUAAUACCGCAUAACAAGCAGUAUAGGCAUCUAUACUUCUUUAAAACUACGGUGGUUUAAGAUGGGCAUGCGGUUGAUUAGCUAGUUGGUGAGGUAAUGGCUCACCAAGGCUACGAUCAAUAGGGGGUCUGAGAGGAUGUCCCCCCACACUGGUACUGAGACACGGACCAGACUCCUACGGGAGCAGCAGUAGGGAUAUUGGACAAUGGGCGAAAGCCUGAUCCAGCCAUGCCGCGUGCAGGAUGACUGCCCUAUGGGUUGUAAACUGCUUUUGUACGGGAAGAACCUCACUACGUGUAUGAGUUGACGGUACCGUGAGAAUAAGGAUCGGCUAACUUCGUGCCAGCCGCCGCCGUAAC